rnacentral:rRNA from 1 species
CCUACGGGAGGCAGCAGUGGGGAAUAUUGGGCAAUGGGCGCAAGCCUGACCCAGCAACGCCGCGUGAAGGAAGAAGGCUUUCGGGUUGUAAACUUCUUUUCUCAGGGACGAAGCAAGUGACGGUACCUGAGGAAUAAGCCACGGCUAACUACGUGCCAGCAGCCGCGGUAAUACGUAGGUGGCAAGCGUUAUCCGGAUUUACUGGGUGUAAAGGGCGUGUAGGCGGGAAAGCAAGUCAGAUGUGAAAACCAUGGGCUCAACCUGUGGCCUGCAUUUGAAACUGGUUUUCUUGAGUGCUGGAGAGGCAGGCGGAAUUCGUGGUGUAGCGGUGAAAUGCAUAGAUAUUAGGAGGAACACCGAUGGCGAAGGCAGUCUGCUGGACAGCAACUGACGCUGAGGCGCGAAAGCGUGGGGAGCAAACAGGAUUAGAUACCCGAGUAGUC